UACGUAGGGUGCAAGCGUUAAUCGGAAUUACUGGGCGUAAAGCGUGCGCAGGCGGUUGUGCAAGACAGAUGUGAAAUCCCCGGGCUUAACCUGGGAACUGCGUUUGAAACUGGGAGACUGGAGUGUGGCAGAGGGGGGUGGAAUUCCACGUGUAGCAGUGAAAUGCGUAGAUAUGUGGAGGAACACCGAUGGCGAAGGCAGCCCCCUGGGUUAACACUGACGCUCAUGCACGAAAGCGUGGGGAGCAAACAGG
rnacentral:rRNA from 1 species